UCCCUGGUGGCUCAGUGGUAAAGAAUCUGCCUGCCUUGCAGAAGAUGCAGGAGACCCGGGUUCGAUCCCUGGGUGGGGAA
rnacentral:tRNA from 1 species